UGCAAGUCGAACGAAGAACUUUUAAAAUAAUUUUCGAAAUAUUUUAAAAGUUUCUAGUGGCAGACGGCUGAGUAAUGCAUUGGUACCCACCCCAAAGUGGGGGAUAGCUCAUCGAAAGAUGGGGUAAUCCCGCAUGUGCCCGAAAGGGUAAAGCUUUCGCGCUUUGGGAGGGGCCUUUGUCCUAUCAGUUUGUUGGUGAGGUAAUGGCUCACCAAGACUAUGACGGGUAGCUGGAUCGAGAGGUUGACCAGCCAGACUGGGACUGAGACACGGCCCAGACUCCUACGGGAGGCAGCAGUGAGGAAUUUUCCACAAUGGGCGAAAGCCUGAUGGAGCGACGCCGCGUGAAGGAUGAAGCUUUUCGGAGUGUAAACUUCUUUUAUGUGGGAAGAUUAUGACGGUACCACAUGAAGGGGGGGGGGGUAACUACGUGCCAGCAGCCGCGGUAAUACGUAGGGUGCGAGCGUUAUCCGGAAUUACUGGGCGUAAAGCGUGCGUAGGCGGAUUUUUAAGUCGAAUGUUAAAUCUACAGGCUCAACUUGUAGGCUGCAUUCGAUACUGGAAGUCUUGAGAGUGGAAGAGGCAGAUGGAAUUCUCGGUGGAGCGGUUAAAUGCGUAGAUAUCGAGAGGAACACCAAUGGCGAAGGCAAUCUGCUGGGCCACUUCUGACGCUAAGGCACGAAAGCGUGGGGAGCGAUCG
rnacentral:rRNA from 1 species